rnacentral:rRNA from 1 species
GAUGAACGCUGGCGGCGUGCCUAAUACAUGCAAGUCGAGCGAACGGACGGGUGAGUUAUGUCUGUGAAACUGCCUGAUGGAGGGGGAUAACUACUGGAAACGGUAGCUAAUACCGCAUACCAUCAGACUUGCCCGGAUGGGCUUAGCUAGUAGGUGGGGUAAUGGAUCACAUAGGCGACGAUCCCUAGCUGGUCUGAGAGGAUGACCAGCCACACUGGAACUGAGACACGUUCCAGACUCCUACGGGAGGCAGCAGUGGGGAAUAUUGCAAAAUGGGCGAAAGCCUGAUGCAGCCAGGCCGCGUGUGUGAAGAAGGCCUUCGGGUUGUAAAGCACUUUCAGCGAGGAGGCGUUACUCGCAGAAGAAGCACCGGCUAACUACGUGCCAGCAGCCGCGGUAAUAC